AUUGAACGCUGGCGGCAGGCCUAACACAUGCAAGUCGAGCGAGCGGCGGAUGGGUGAGUAAUGUCUGGGAAACUGCCUGAUGGAGGGGGAUAACUACUGGAGACGGUAGCUAAUACCGCAUACAGUCAGAUGUGCCCCGAUGUGAUUAGCUAGUGGGUGGGGUAACGGCUCACCUAGGCGACGAUCCCUAGCUGGUCUGAGAGGAUGACCAGCCACACCGGGACUGAGACACGGCCCUGACUCCUACGGGAGGCAGCAGUGGGGAAUAUUGCGCAAUGGGGGCAAGCCUGACGCAGCCAUGCCGCGUGAAUGAAGAAGGCCUUCGGGUUGUAAAGUUCUUUCGGUGACGAGGCGUUAAUCACAGAAGAAGCACCGGCUAACUCCGUGCCAGCAGCCGCGGUAAUAC
rnacentral:rRNA from 1 species